GACGAACGCUGGCGGCGUGCUUAACACAUGCAAGUCGUACGGUAAGGCCCUUUCGGGGGUACACGAGUGGCGAACGGGUGAGUAACACGUGAGUAACCUGCCCACAACUUUGGGAUAACGCUAGGAAACUGGUGCUAAUACUGGAUAUGUGCUCCUGCUGCAUGGUGGGGGUUGGAAAGCUCCGGCGGUUGUGGAUGGACUCGCGGCCUAUCAGCUUGUUGGUGGGGUAGUGGCCUACCAAGGCGGCGACGGGUAGCCGGCCUGAGAGGGUGACCGGCCAAAUUGGGACUGAGAUACGGCCCAGACUCCUACGGGAGGCAGCAGUGGGGAAUAUUGCACAAUGGGCGCAAGCCUGAUGCAGCAACGCCGCGUGCGGGAUGACGGCCUUCGGGUUGUAAACCGCUUUCAGCAGGGACGAAGCUUUUUGUGACGGUACCUGCAGAAGAAGCACCGGCUAACUACGUG
rnacentral:rRNA from 1 species